AUGGAGUUCACUUCAAAUGAUGCCCAUUACUCAACCUGCCCGGAAUGAAUUCAAGGUUAGAUAACAGAAAAGCGAUUUGCUCAUGCUUCAGUUACCAAGAUGCUUAUUUUGUUGUAAUAGUCUUAUUAUAGACAGCAUAACAAGAAAGAGCCAUCUCUUAUUAAUUCUUCUAGUUUUAGCUGAUGCAUAUAAGCUGUUCAAAAUAUGAUGCCGCGUUUACUUAAUGCAAUUUGUUGCAGUUUAUUGUCCAGAAAACUUGACAGUUAAUUUUGUGGAAUUCCUCUUUUCUUGUCUAUUAGCUUGAUUUGGUCGUUGAUCGAUUGCUAUUGCAGGAGUUGUUUAAUCUUGUCUCCGUUCAAACUUCAGUCAAUUUAUGGAAUGCAAAGCUCUAAUAGAAUUCACAAGGUUUGUUUCCUAUCUAUCAAAAAUAUAAAUGUUUGCCUCCCAAUGAAUUUAACAACCAAAAGCAUUCAAAGUUGUACAAUUCACAAGGUUUGUUUCCUAUCGUUCAGGUUUUUGUUAAUGAUUAUCAGAUAUCAACUUAGCAAAUUUUAUUCUUUGUCAGGAUUUUGGUAUGCUGUUACAGCUCUUAGCUCAGUUGGGAAAAGGAAAAUUCUAUUGCAAUACUCCAUUGAAUAGAAAGGCACUCCAAUGUGGCCUGACAGCAAACCGUAAGUGAAGAAAGACUAGUCAUUGGCUGUAAAUGUUAUACUAAUGCUUUGAAUUUUUAUACGUAAAUAUGUGUACUUAUAUUGUAGUAUAUAUGUAUUUUUUGCUUAGCUUAGUUUGAUAUUUCAAUCUAUUAUUUGUAUAGGUUAUAUCCAAUUCUACUUCUUGUAUAUUUUCUAUUAGCCUAGAUUGUUCGCUAAUUAAUGCCUUUUUAUAAUAGUUAGAUGUUAUGGUAAUUAUUUCGUCUGUUUCUUUAAAAUUUAAAAUAUCUAUUUCUAGAUUUCUUAUUUCUUUAUUUAACAACUCUAAUCUUUCUACAAAUUGUUUUCGAAUUUUUACAAGUUGAUGUUUAUAUAUAAAUUCUCUAUAAUAUUGAUGUUGUAUUUCCCUUAUACACUCAAUAUAUCUUAUUGGCAUUUAUUAUCCUAAUUGAUAAGCUUUUCUCUUAAUACGUUCUUUAAGCCACUUUAUUCCUGAAGUAUUAUUUUCUAAGUCUCUCUCACAACCUUGUAUUUCCCAAUUUAAAGCGCUUAAUAAGUCGUUAUAAACUUUAUGUAAUCUAUUUACUUUUAGUAGUCUUUUUCGACUUUCUUCUAAUUAUUGUUUUUUAUUUAUUAUGUUCUUUCUUUUUCUNNNNNNNNNNNNNNNNNNNNNNNNNNNNNNNNNNNNNNNNNNNNNNNNNNNNNNNNAAACAGUGGGAUAUUUCAAUAAAAACAAAUAAACAGUGGGAUAUUUCAAUAAAAACAAAUAAACAGUGGGAUAUUUCAAUAAAAACAAAUAAACAGUGGGAUAUUUUCAAUAAAACAAAUAAACAGUGGGAUAUUUCAAUAAAAACAAAUAAACAGUGGGAUAUUUCAAUAAAAACAAAUAUUUCAAUAAAAAUAAAACAGUGGGUAAACAGUGGUAUAUGUCAAUUUUUCAGUGAAUAAAGAUCGAUUUUUUAGUAUAUCAGUUUGUAAAACCUACUCAGUACUCCUUCUUUCCUACUGUUUCUUCAUGUUUAUUAUUCUUAUACUCCAAAUUUUCCCCAGAGUUUUUUUUUUUUUUUUUUACUUUACCCCGUUCAUCUCUUCCUCUUAAUUUAUGUUCUUAACAUCGUACUUCUUUAACCACACCCCGGAAAAUUUUUUGUCUGGCAGCUAACACUCGUCCUUUGUCUAAAUUGCAGACCUAUUGGACUAUCAAGGCCAGAAAUCCUAGGAAUUUACAGGUUAAUCCAUCGUUGGUAUUAAGAAACUAAGAGGCUAACCAUAUACUAAGGGUAAAAUUUUAUAGAUAAUUUAAUUUACAUGAUUUACAAAAAAUAUGUGAAACAACGUUAAACAUGGAUAUAAAAACAUAAAUAUUUUUGUGGGGAAAAUAUGUAAAUAAGAACUUACAUGAAGUAACUAGGAGAACCCCCUUAAGAUUUGAAUAGAAAACUUGAAGCCUUUAUUUAAAUCACAAUGAUACAAAGUUUAUACAAGAAAGACUGGCUUGGAUAAGUUUUUUGGGAGGAAGGGUUUAAACAUUUCAAGGUUUUUGAAGUUGGUUCAUUUCACUCUGCCUUCUUUCGACAAAAUGUGCGCCUUUUAUAGGCGAGAUGUACAUAAAGGAAAGGUUCUAAGAGCUACUACGUGGCCUCAACACAGUCGGCUGACACUUUUUGAUAAGAGAUAAGAAAGAAAACUUUAAUAAUGCAAGUCGGGUACUCUUUGGGCCCCAUCGUCACAUGCGUUAUUAAUUUUCUUUCAAACUUAUUUUGACGCGUGCUUCAACAGUUUUUCUUUCUUUUGGAAAGUAGUGAUAAAGGAAGCACUC
rnacentral:lncRNA from 1 species